CAUGGCUCAGAUUGAACGCUGGCGGCAGGCCUAACACAUGCAAGUCGAGCGGAAACGAGUUAACUGACCCUUCGGGUGACGUUAACGGCGUCGAGCGGCGGACGGGUGAGUAAUGCCUGGGAAAUUGCCCUGAUGUGGGGGAUAACCAUUGGAAACGAUGGCUAAUACCGCAUAAUACCUUCGGGUCAAAGAGGGGGACCUUCGGGCCUCUCGCGUCAGGAUAUGCCCAGGUGGGAUUAGCUAGUUGGUGAGGUAAUGGCUCACCAAGGCGACGAUCCCUAGCUGGUCUGAGAGGAUGAUCAGCCACACUGGAACUGAGACACGGUCCAGACUCCUACGGGAGGCAGCAGUGGGGAAUAUUGCACAAUGGGCGCAAGCCUGAUGCAGCCAUGCCGCGUGUGUGAAGAAGGCCUUCGGGUUGUAAAGCACUUUCAGCAGUGAGG
rnacentral:rRNA from 1 species